rnacentral:rRNA from 1 species
ACAGGUGCUGCAUGGCUGUCGUCAGCUCGUGUCGUGAGAUGUUGGGUUAAGUCCCGCAACGAGCGCAACCCUUGUCUUUAAUUGCCAGCAUUCAGUUGGGCACUUUAAAGAGACUGCCGGUGUAAGCGGAGGAAGGUGGGAUGACGUCAAGUCCUCAUGGCCUUUAUGCCCAGGGCUACACACGUGCUACAAUGGGUGGUACAAAGAGAUGCCAACUCGCGAGAGCGCGCCAAUCUCAGAAAGCCAUCCUCAGUUCGGAUUGGAGUCUGCAACUCGACUCCAUGAAGUUGGAAUCGCUAGUAAUCGCGGAUCAGCACGCCGCGGUGAAUACCGGUUCCCGGGCCUU